CGCGGGGUGGAGCAGCCAGGGUAGCUCGUCGGGCUCAUAACCCGAAGGUCGCAGGUUCAAAUCCUGCCCCCGCAA
rnacentral:tRNA from 1 species